rnacentral:rRNA from 1 species
GGUAACAUUUCUAGCUUGCUAGAAGAUGACGAGUGGCGGACGGGUGAGUAAUGCUUGGGAACUUGCCUUUGCGAGGGGGAUAACAGUUGGAAACGACUGCUAAUACCGCAUAAUGUCUUCGGACCAAACGGGGCUUAGGCUCCGGCGCAAAGAGAGGCCCAAGUGAGAUUAGCUAGUUGGUAAGGUAACGGCUUACCAAGGCGACGAUCUCUAGCUGUUCUGAGAGGAAGAUCAGCCACACUGGGACUGAGACACGGCCCAGACUCCUACGGGAGGCAGCAGUGGGGAAUAUUGCACAAUGGGGGAAACCCUGAUGCAGCCAUGCCGCGUGUGUGAAGAAGGCCUUCGGGUUGUAAAGCACUUUCAGUUGUGAGGAAAAGCUAGUAGUUAAUACCUGCUAGCCGUGACGUUAACAACAGAAGAAGCACCGGCUAACUCCGUGCCAGCAGCCGCGGUAAUACGGAGGGUGCGAGCGUUAAUCGGAAUUACUGGGCGUAAAGCGCACGCAGGCGGUUUGUUAAGCUAGAUGUGAAAGCCCCGGGCUCAACCUGGGAUGGUCAUUUAGAACUGGCAGACUAGAGUCUUGGAGAGGGGAGUGGAAUUCCAGGUGUAGCGGUGAAAUGCGUAGAUAUCUGGAGGAACAUCAGUGGCGAAGGCGACUCCCUGGCCAAAGACUGACGCUCAUGUGCGAAAGUGUGGGUAGCGAACAGGAUUAGAUACCCUGGUAGUCCACACCGUAAACGCUGUCUACUAGCUGUGUGUGCCUUUAAGCGUGCGUAGCGAAGCUAACGCGCUAAGUAGACCGCCUGGGGAGUACGGCCGCAAGGUUAAAACUCAAAUGAAUUGACGGGGGCCCGCACAAGCGGUGGAGCAUGUGGUUUAAUUCGAUGCAACGCGAGAACCUUACCUACACUUGACAUGCUGAGAAGUUACUAGAGAUAGUUUCGUGCCUUCGGGAACUCAGACAC